GAAAGCCUGACGGAGCAAUUCCGCGUGAGGGAGGAAGGCUCUUGGGUUGUAAACCUCAAAACUUAGGGAAGAAAAAAAUGACGGUACCUAAUGUAAGCAUCGGCUAACUCCGUGCCAGCAGCCGCGGUAAUACGGAGGAUGCAAGCGUUAUCCGGAAUCAUUGGGCGUAAAGAGUCCGUAGGUGGCACUUCAAGUCUGCUUUCAAAGACCGAAGCUCAACUUCGGAAAGGGAGUGGAAACUGAAGAGCUAGAGUAUAGUAGGGGUAGAGGGAAUUCCUAGUGUAGCGGUGAAAUGCGUAGAGAUUAGGAAGAACACCAGUGGCGAAGGCGCUCUACUGGGCAUAUACUGACACUGAGGGACGAAAGCUAGGGGAGCGAAUGGGAUUA
rnacentral:rRNA from 1 species